rnacentral:rRNA from 1 species
AGUAACGCGUGGGUAACCUGCCUCAUACAGGGGGAUAACAGUUAGAAAUGGCUGCUAAUACCGCAUAAGCGCACAGUGCUGCAUGGCACAGUGUGAAAAACUCCGGUGGUAUGAGAUGGACCCGCGUCUGAUUAGCUAGUUGGUGGGGUAACGGCCUACCAAGGCGACGAUCAGUAGCCGGCCUGAGAGGGUGAACGGCCACAUUGGGACUGAGACACGGCCCAA